AUGGAUGAGGAACUAGACGACGUUGUGAUUGGGGCAGAGGAGGCGAAGUCUUUCAACGAGAAGGCGGGGUGGAUGGCAAUUGCUAGGGUUAACACCAAUCGGAACUUCAGUCCGACAGCCUUUUCAGAUAAUAUGAACUUCAUAUGGGGAUUGGCUCAGACUCCGGAAUUCAGAGAGGCUGGAGAAAACUUAUUCAUCUUCAAGUUCUUCUGCCUAGGGGACUAGAAGAAGGUAGUCCAUAGAGGGCCAUGGCUGUUCAGAGGAUUGGCGGUGGUAAUCGAGGACUACGAUGGGAAGGCGGAUCCAGAAUCGGUGGUGCUAGAUGGAUUGUAUGUUUGGGCACAGAUCCAUAAGAUCCCAGAAGUUUACCGCCAUGAACCGGUGGUGGAUCAGCUUGCCCGGAGAAUAGGGAAAGUCAAGGAGGUUCAGAUGAAACCAACGCUCUUCUACGAGGGGGACUAUGUGAGGGUUAGAGCUAGGGUUCUUACUGAUAAACCCUUGACUCGUUUCACCCCUUUGACUGUGGCGGGAGAAGGAACCCGGAUGCUUGUGGUGAAGUACGAGAAGAUUCCGUUUUUCUGCAAGGUGUGUGGAAUCAUGGGGCACAGUCAUGAGGAAUGUGGCAGGGGUAUUUGGAAAGAAGAGGACAAGAAGUGGGGCUCUUGGAUGAUCGCAAAGCGCAGGACUGUCACAUACUCGCAGCCUUCUGGGAGAGGUUUUUUCAGAGGGGGAGAGGGUAUGGCAAUGGUGGUACAUCAGGUCAAUCAAGAGGUGGGGGUAGAGGAGGAGCUGCGGCAGAAUUUCAGCAGGACAAGGAGGAAGAGGGUGCAGACCCGAAGCAGCAACCUGACCAUACUGGAGUAA
rnacentral:rRNA from 1 species